AAGGUUGUUACAUGAAUAGAGUCAAAUCACCAUCUUUCAGCUAAACUUGUGAUGGAUUUGCUUUUUUUCUGCUAAAGCUG
rfam:Nomascus leucogenys chromosome 22a, whole genome shotgun sequence.